AGUGAACGCUGGCGGUAGGCCUAACACAUGCAAGUCGAACGGCAGCACAGUAAGAGCUUGCUCUUACGGGUGGCGAGUGGCGGACGGGUGAGGAAUACAUCGGAAUCUACUUUUUCGUGGGGGAUAACGUAGGGAAACUUACGCUAAUACCGCAUACGACCUACGGGUGAAAGCAGGGGAUCUUCGGACCUUGCGCGAUUGAAUGAGCCGAUGUCGGAUUAGCUAGUUGGCGGGGUAAAGGCCCACCAAGGCGACGAUCCGUAGCUGGUCUGAGAGGAUGAUCAGCCACACUGGAACUGAGACACGGUCCAGACUCCUACGGGAGGCAGCAGUGGGGAAUAUUGGACAAUGGGCGAAAGCCUGAUCCGGCAAUACCGCGUGGGUGAAGAAGGCCUUCGGGUUGUAAAGCCCUUUUGUUGGGAAAGAAAAGCAGCAGGUUAAUACCCCGCUGUUCUGACGGUACCCAAAGAAUAAGCACCGGCUAACUUCGUG
rnacentral:rRNA from 1 species